rnacentral:rRNA from 1 species
ACAUGCAAGUCGAACGAACCUUCGGGUUAGUGGCGGACGGGUGAGUAACGCGUGAGAAUCUGCCCUCAGGAGGGGGAUAACGGUUGGAAACGACCGCUAAUACCCCAUAUGCCUAUUGGUGAAAUGAAUUUCGCCUGAGGAUGAGCUCGCGUCUGAUUAGCUAGUUGGUGAGGUAACGGCUCACCAAGGCUUCGAUCAGUAGCUGGUCUGAGAGGAUGAUCAGCCACACUGGGACUGAGACGCGGCCCAGACUCCUACGGGAGGCAGCAGUGGGGAAUUUUCCGCAAUGGGCGAAAGCCUGACGGAGCAACGCCGCGUGAGGGACGAAGGCCUCUGGGCUGUAAACCUCUUUUCUCAAGGAAGAAGAUAUGACGGUACUUGAGGAAUAAGCCACGGCUAAUUCCGUGCCAGCAGCCGCGGUAAUACGGGAGUGGCAAGCGUUAUCCGGAAUUAUUGGGCGUAAAGCGUCCGCAGGCGGCUUUUCAAGUCUGCUGUUAAAGCGUGGAGCUUAACUCCAUCAUGGCAGUGGAAACUGAAAGGCUUGAGUAUGGUAGGGGCAGAGGGAAUUCCCGGUGUAGCGGUGAAAUGCGUAGAUAUCGGGAAGAACACCAGUGGCGAAGGCGCUCUGCUGGGCCAUUACUGACGCUCAUGGACGAAAGCCAGGGGAGCGAAAGGGAUUAGAUACCCCUGUAGUCCUGGCCGUAAACGAUGAACACUAGGUGUCGGGGGAAUCGACCCCUUCGGUGUCGUAGCUAACGCGUCA